GUGUAAAUUAUCAGGGUUAAUAAACACUUGUAAUAAUACCACAAUACUCCAUCAACCGUGAUGUACUUCUCAUGUACUACUAAUGAAAAUGUAAUCAUACUAAGAAAUUAAUGAGCAAUCAAUAAAAGUGUAAUUAACGUGUGUGAUAUAAGGCACAUGCCUCCAUUAGGCUUCUGUGCGACACCACAUGAAGGGCUUAUAUUGAUAAUA
rnacentral:lncRNA from 1 species